GCUCUCGUCGAGCCGGGGCUUCUUCUGGCUCGUGCGACCCGUCAGGCACGAGCAGGGUUAAGUGUGUGUGGGGGGCGGAGAGGGAAUCCCAGACCGCCGGAACUGGAGACUUCCCAGCCGAGGGCGAAGCGGCCGCGAGAGGCAGCGCCGGCCACCCCGUGGCUUCCGUCGGCACCUGGGCGCGCGGAGUCGUGAGGACACGUCGACAGCCGCCCGCAGGACACGCGGCAGACCCGCCACGGCCGCCGCCAGGGCUGCCAGCAAGCUCCGAGCUGGGAACCUGGGACCUGUGCUGUGACAGGGUCAGCUGGCGGCCCAGAGAGAAGAGCCGUGUGGACCCAGAGAGGCGGGUGGACCGCACAGCCCUCGAGCGGACAUACUGGCCUGUGUCCAGGGGUCACAAGGUAGGAGGCAGCUUCCUUUUCUCUCUGGAGUUUGAUUGCCGCCACUUCCGUCUUGUUUCACUUGUUCUUUAUGGUUACUGGUUAUGUUGUGCGUGGUUAAGGCUGAGCUGGUGUCCAUGGGUAAGUCAGUUCUGUGUCCACGCGGCAGGUGCUCGGUGUUGAGUGGUGUCUGAACUCGGGUCAGGUCUGCGUCCGCGUUGGCGGGUGAUUAUCUGUGUCCACGCGGCAGGUGCUCGGUGUUGUCGGUGUCUGAACUCGGGUCAGGUCUGCGUCCGCGUUGGCGGGUGAU